rnacentral:rRNA from 1 species
ACUCCUACGGGAGGCAGCAGUAGGGAAUCUUCCACAAUGGGCGCAAGCCUGAUGGAGCAACACCGCGUGAGUGAAGAAGGGUUUCGGCUCGUAAAGCUCUGUUGUUAAAGAAGAACACGUAUGAGAGUAACUGUUCAUACGUUGACGGUAUUUAACCAGAAAGUCACGGCUAACUACGUGCCAGCAGCCGCGGUAAUACGUAGGUGGCAAGCGUUAUCCGGAUUUAUUGGGCGUAAAGAGAGUGCAGGCGGUUUUCUAAGUCUGAUGUGAAAGCCUUCGGCUUAACCGGAUAAGUGCAUCGGAAACUGGAUAACUUGAGUGCAGAAGAGGGUAGUGGAACUCCAUGUGUAGCGGUGGAAUGCGUAGAUAUAUGGAAGAACACCAGUGGCGAAGGCGGCUACCUGGUCUGCAACCGACGCUGAGACUCGAAAGCAUGGGUAGCGAACAGGAUUAGAUACCCUGGUAGGAAAGAG